GUUUCCGUAGUGUAGCGGUUAUCACGUGCGCCUAAUAUGCGAAAGUCCGCAGUUCAAUUCUGUGUGGAAACA